rnacentral:rRNA from 1 species
AUUGAACGCUGGCGGCAUGCUUUACACAUGCAAGUCGAACGGUAACAGGGUGCUUGCACCGCUGACGAGUGGCGAACGGGUGAGUAAUGCGUCGGAACGUGCCGAGUAGUGGGGGAUAACGCAGCGAAAGUUGUGCUAAUACCGCAUACGUACUGAGGUAGAAAGUGGGGGACCUUCGGGCCUCACGCUAUUCGAGCGGCCGACGUCUGAUUAGCUAGUAGGUGAGGUAAAGGCUCACCUAGGCGACGAUCAGUAGCGGGUCUGAGAGGAUGAUCCGCCACACUGGGACUGAGACACGGCCCAGACUCCUACGGGAGGCAGCAGUGGGGAAUCUUGGACAAUGGGCGAAAGCCUGAUCCAGCCAUGCCGCGUGUCUGAAGAAGGCCUUCGGGUUGUAAAGGACUUUUGUCAGGGAGGAAAUCCCUAGUGCUAAUAACACUGGGGGAUGACAGUACCUGAAGAAUAAGCACCGGCUAACUACGUGCCAGCAGCCGCUGUAA